GACGAACGCUGGCGGCGUGCUUAAUACAUGCAAGUCGAGCGAGGUUACUGUUUUGGAUCCCUUCGGGGUGGAGAAGCUUUAACCUAGCGGCGGACGGGUGAGUAACGCGUGGGUAACCUACCCCAAAGUCCGGGAUAACAGCGGGAAACCGCUGCUAAUACCGGAUGCCUUUACCUUGGGGCAUCUUGAGGUAAAGAAAGGCAACGCUUUGGGAUGGGCCCGCGUCCCAUUAGCUAGUUGGUGAGGUAACGGCUCACCAAGGCGACGAUGGGUAGCCGGCCUGAGAGGGUGGACGGCCACACUGGGACUGAGACACGGCCCAGACUCCUACGGGAGGCAGCAGUAGGGAAUAUUGCGCAAUGGACGGAAGUCUGACGCAGCGACGCCGCGUGAGCGAUGAAGGUCUUCGGAUCGUAAAGCUCUGUCCUUGGGGAAGAAGGCGAAAGCUUGACGGUACCCAAGAAGAAAGCCCCGGCUAACUACGUGCCAGCAGCCGCGGUAAUACGUAGGGGGCGAGCGUUGUCCGGAAUUACUGGGCGUAAAGGGUGCGUAGGCGGCCCUUUAAGUCGGAUGUGAAAGCCCGCGGCUUAACCGCGGAAUGGCAUUCGAAACUGGAGGGCUUGAGUGUCGGAGAGGGUAGUGGAAUUCCCAGUGUAGCGGUGAAAUGCGUAGAUAUUGGGAGGAACACCAGUGGCGAAGGCGACUACCUGGACGAUAACUGACGCUGAGGCACGAAAGCUAGGGGAGCAAACAGG
rnacentral:rRNA from 1 species